GUCAAACUGGCUUGAGUAAAACAGGGAGAUUCGGGUCAAUCCAAUUAAAAGGCUAAGAUGAGGCUAACGGCAGGCUUGCCUGGCUACGAGGUUUGAAUGGUAGCAAGAGCCUUUGUCCUUUGUCUCGCAGCUUUGGUCUCCUUCAGAGGCUGGACGUCAUGGCCUCUGGUGCUGUUUCCCCUGAAGCAGCUCCCUAACCAGCCAUCCCGCAGCUGCACGUCCAUCAGGGAAAAGCCACACGUACUUUUCGAACGGACCCAGAAAAAUAUCACGGGAAUGAGAGCUCAAGAAAGAAUGGAUCCCAGGAGGAAACGAGCCCCAGACUUGGCAAUUUAGCACGAGAGCAUCAUUUCUCACUCGUCUGGAUCUCUGGGCUCCUGGGCGGCCUUCGGCUCUUCAUGAGUACCUGGGUUUGAGUACCAGAUAAAAUAUACGGUGCAAUGUUGUGGAUGUUACCUGGAAUUGACCGCAGCGUAACAGAAGAGGAC